AUACAGGGCCUGGCACAAAGAGACGCUUGGAUGUGUCAUCUGCAGUUAUGGUUCCAAACCAGAGUUUCCCUAGGAAAUAAACACGGAGGGGCUGAAAGGACCUGGGGCCAUCGGGGGUGGAUGGCCAUAUCCUGGGGCCUUGAUGCCAGUGCCGACUGUUCCCUGCACGCUUCCACGUCCACGCCAACAUUGCAAGGCUAUGUCACGGACUGGAACAGCUACAGUGAUGACACACCUGAGGUGAACACAACUCCAGCAGCAUCCUGGCCUCUCAUGGGGCAAGUGCAUGUGGAAUCUAGAAACUUCACAGCUGAGCCUGCAAAGGUGCUCAUGGCAUGCAGAAGUGUUUCUGGAUCCAGUGGUAGGAAGUCAUUUCAAGCAGCUUGUGAACAUUCACAGAAGCAGCUCAGGAUCAUCCUGCUGCUUCUGAGAGGUAAGCUGGACAGGUUACUGCCUCUGACAUGGGGGAGGAGAGAAAACUCCUGAAUUUUGGUGCCCCCAGAUAUAUCGUGGAUCAAGAGGUCAGUAUUAUUCCAUGCUUCUUCCCACUGUGAAACAAAAUGAGACGUCUAGCGGGAGCCUCGCGUUGCCAGUGAAAUCAACCCAGAUGUGCAGGCAUGAAAAAAAAAUAGCCGGAAAAUCUGCCCAGGAGACCAGGGACAGCCAGGAGACACAACGCCAGGGCCGGGGCGCUCCCAGCAGGGCUGGCCUGACGUUGCCACCAGUGUGGAGGGUCCCCAGUGGGGCAUGCGGGACACGCCCCGGAGGCCCGUCGGGAGGUCAGGCAGUCCCACGGGGGAAGCAGCUCAGCCCAGUGAAGUGGCCGUCCACACUCUCAGAGGAGCCUACCACGUAAGGCACUGGGAGUUGAGUGACCCUGAGGGCCACAAGGCUGGGAGAAGAUUCAGAGCUUGCACUCUUUGUCCAUAGCCAUAGCUGGCUGUGUGGGAUUCAAAUGGAAAACAGAGGGUUCCAGAAACCAUGGUGACCACAGACAGCCCUUGCCUCUGCAGGGUACAUCAGGGCUCAGAAUGUGCUGUCCCCCUUAUCAAUCAUCACUGAGACCUCAGCAGAAUGAGAGGGCCCCGCAGAGACAGCAGGCAGGGGCCAGGCCUUGGAAAUGCUGCACACGGACCGGACCCCAGUCGUCCUGCCACGGCCAUGCCCAUCUCGGCUGAGGCCACCGAGGUCUGGAGAAGGUCCUCACUUGCUCAAGGACACACGGCGGGUAGACUGGCUAGAUUCAUGCUCAGAGUGUUUCCUGCCUCUCCCCGGGGCCCCUUGAUGUCAGGUUUGGGUGACGCUUUCGCCAAUGUCCUGGCCGAGCAGAUGCCUCAGGGGCUAUCAUGUGGUUCCACCAUGUCCCCAUCCUCCAGCCCACAGAGCCUCCCAUGAGAGGCAUCCUUCAGCCUGGGUCCCAGAACUGAGAGGCCAUGGAGCAGAGCUCCAGCUGACCAUCAUGUGCCUGUAGCGCGAGUGAGAAGCACACGCUGUCGCUGGAAGCCCAAGACACAGGAGGCCAUUUGUUUCUGCAGUGCAGCCCGGCUCAAGCUGACUGAUCCCAAGUGAGGCUCAAGCCUGCCUGCCCAGCCCCGGAGCCACCACUUCUGCCCCACAACCCUGCCUCUCGGGGUGACAGGAAAGGCAGUUCUUACGCAUCGUAGAGAGGAGGCGGGUGCAGUCGCUGCAGUAAACAGGAGCUGAUAAGAGCCAGUGGGACUGAAGAGCUGCCUGCUGGGGAGCGGCUCUGUGGAAUUCCACCCCGGGCACGGUGGGCACACGUGUCACUCUUGGCAGGUGUGGACACUAAUGAGACUUUGGGUACAGCUACCUGCUGGGGCCUAGACAUUCCGUGGGGCAGCGGGGGCACCCGGGGCAGUGCCUCACCCCGACACCAGGCCAGCAGAGACUGGUGGACCCCUCUCUUCCCCAGAGUGGGCCCAUCAGGAUGCCCAAAGCUCCCAGCUGGUGGUCACUGAUUUUGCACUUUGACCCGUCCUCAAAACAUGAGGUCUCUGUGAAAGCAUAGACACCUUGAGAGUCCCAGCAUAUGGGUGUGUGGCUGAUCUCCCUUCCCUCCUGGCAGGAAACCCAGAGCCCUGAGCAGUUGUCACCCAAGAUGGUGGCCCCAGAGCCACCUGGCCAGGCUCCCCACUUUUUCCUGAGCUGGACUCUCAUGGCUGGUAACAGCCCAGGGUACCCCUCCAGCUCUGCCCUCCCAACUCUGGCUGCCCCCAGGUGUUCCCCGUGUCCAGCCCUGUGAUGGGGAGUGCAGAGCGAGGCUUGGAGGGUGGGCGGGGAGCAGGUUCUGAUCUCAACUCUUCCGUGCUCUGGGUGAGCAAGGCGGCUGCCUAAGGUCCCAAGGACAAGAGCCCGCAGCGACGGUCAGGAUCAUUGAGGAGAACGCCUGGAAAGUGCUUGUUGAGUUCUCUGUCCAUAGUAGGUGCUCGGUAAAUGUCAAAGAUUUCCCAAAUAUUUGUAUUGCUGCCAAGCUGAAGCAUUUAGAAAUGCAUCAGUUUCAUCUCCUCUUUGUGGUUGGACUUGGGCCCAGAAGCUGGUCCCCAAAGUGGCUUCACUUGUAGGACCAAGUAUGAGCCCAGCCCAGCCCACAGCUGCCGCGCAGCCCUGCGACCCAUUGGGUUAUAAGGUGGAGGUCUCGGAGCUUCUGCUAGGAGCCCCCACCAGCCUCUGAGUCAACCAGAGGCCCCGGCGGCUGACCCCCUACAGCCCCCGGGGCCACAGCCCGAAGUGUGGGUUGAAGGGCUCCUGGCAGAAGCCUGGCCUGCAAGCACCGGCAUCCAAGCUUCCACAGCAAAGUGAUCCCAUGCCAGGAGCAGACGUGACGGCUCCCUCAAACCAGGAAAACCUGUUUAAAAUUCCACAUGUCACCGUGGGCCUUCCUUUUCCACCCUCCAUCGUCCAGCAGGUGUCGGGCCCCAGGCUGGAGGCCACGUGCCAGGCUGGCAGGAUUUGUCCACUGUGAAGCUCGACGCCCCCGCAGGCCCUGUGCUGCCCGCCCGGAUCCCCCUGCCUCAGGAUGCCCUCCACACCCUCCGAAUUCCCAGCCGCUGCUCUGGGGCCUGCACAGAGGGCUUGGGCCCAGCACCUGGAAACUCCAAAGAGGCAAACGGGUUCAUGUCCAGGUAAACCUCAAGAUGUGGCUCUGAGGAGUUUCCUUUUAUGGGUUUUACUGCUUUUUAAAAACACUCCUUAUUUUCGAAAUAGAAUGUGACGCCCCACCCUCACCCUGUCCAGGAGGCCCAGCCAGUGCCUCUUCUGUGCCCCUAGACACCUCUGAGAACUCCAGGCACCAGCAUUAAUAUCCUGGAGCCCUGGAGCCCCGGAGCCCCUGAGUGUGCCAGAUCCUGAGUGUGCCGGGCCUGAGUGUGUGCCAGGCCCCAAGUGUGCCGUGCACUGUGUGUGUUGUGCCCCCAGUGUGCCAGGCACUGAGUGUGCCAGACCCCGAGUGUGCUGUGCCCUGUGUGUGUCAUGCCCUAAGUGUGCUGUGCCCUGAGUGUGCCAGACCCUGAGUGUGCUGGACCCUGUGUGUGCUGGACCCUGUGUGUGCCAGGCCCUGAGUGUGCCAUGCCCUGAGUGUGCUGGGCCUGUGUGUGCCAGACCGUGUGUGUGCCAGGCCCUGAGUGUGCUGGGCCCCAUGUGUGCUGGGCCUGUGUGUGCCAGACCGUGUGUGUGCCAGGCCCUGAGUGUGCUGGGCCCCAUGUGUGCUGGGCCUGUGUGUGCCAGACCGUGUGUGUGCCAGGCCCCAUGUGUGCUGGGCCCUGAGUAUGUCAGGCCCUACAGGCAGCGCCUGCAGAUGGAGCUCACAGAGAGGCUAGAGGGGGAAAUCUGCUUAAAGUCUUGUCUGCUCUCUUCAUCCUUCAGUGGAUGUGGAAUUUAAUCUGGCAGAUACUUACAUGGCUGCUGGAUGGUAGAACUGUACAAGGUCCACCCAAGUGAGGAGGGAGCUGUGAGGCGUGGUGGGAAUGGAGGAUGGGGGCUGUGGCCUACUGGGCUCCCUGUGUCCACCCCACAUCCACCCAGUAACUCAUAAGCCACAAAUAGAUGUGCCUUGAUCUACUUAAUGCCUCAUUGCUAGAUAGUUGGAUUGUCUCCUGUUAUGCAUUUGCCACCCAGAGCCUCAUCAUUCCUCCUGUCAUUACUUUCUAGUGGGAGAGUGGGUCAAAGGUGUGAACUCCUGUAUUCACCCCUAGGUUUUGUCAGAUCGCUUCCGAGGCUGCCCUCUUCGCCGUGGCUGCUGAGUGCAGAGCUGGGCAUCUGAGUGGACAGAGUGGUGCUCCGCUUCCUUGCAUCUCCUGGGCCAUGCGUGGUGACCUGUGCCCACUGCAUCGCUCCUGUGUGCCCUGUGCAUGUGACCGUGUCUUUCCCGUGUAUUCAGUGCUGCUUCAUGUCUUCCAGUUCCGCUUUGUGGUUUGUGAGUGACCAGUGCAUCCCGUUCCUGCUGCAGCAGCUGCAAUGUGCACUGUCCUGCAGGAAGCCCUCGGGGUAGGGCCUGGGGGCUGUGGGAAGCUCAGCAACAAGGUAAGGGAAUGGGCAGCUUUGUUUUAUUUAUUUAUUUAUUUUUACUAUUUAAUUAUCUCACCUUAUUACACUUUAAUUAAAAUAUCGAUCUUUACACAAUACACUUGAACUGUGGAAUAAAGCAGGACCAGAUGUGGACCCUGGAGCUGACAGUUACUUGCCUCCCACCCAGCCACGUCCUAAUUCUCUUUUUGCAAAAGCAACUACUUGUCCCUGUUAAAGCUGUUCCUUCUGGUCAUGACUGUUUUAUCACAAAAUCAUAUGCCUCUAUUUUUGUUGCUUGACUUACCCAUUUUAGACAUUAUCUGUUUAUUUCCUGCUGGACAGGUAUUUUAGCUCCAUCUCCCCUACUUCCACAUCCACACUAUAAUUAUAUCUCUAUUUUUAGUUAAAUCCAUAGUUAGUAUUUACAUUUUCAUGACUAAGUAAAUAUUGCUUAUGACUGAGCCAAACAAAGCAUGAUGGUUAUUUUUCAUUCCAUCAACAGCUUCCCCCUGCCCUUCGCCCACCCUGAUAGUUUUGACUUUUUUUCUCACAACACAUUCUCAUGUGUGUUCAUAGUCUCCCGACUAUCUUCUAUCUGCCUUCACCCCCAGUGCUCCAUUAUGCCAGGAGGUCUCCUCAGGAUGAGCCCCAUGUGCAGCCUACAUUGUGCUACUCUCUCAGAUCCAGUGUGCAGCUCUCCUCCUGGGACUUCCCUCCACAACUUUUCUCAGUUGAAUCCACUAUGUGUUGGAUCCCAGGUCUUCCUCUUUAUUUUCUCCUUCAUUUUGCUGGAGCACAUCCUCAAGUAACUUUCUAAAAUAAGUUUAAACAGGUAAAUGUUUUGGAAGGUUGAAUGCCACAAAACAUCUUUAUUCUACCUUCAUACUUGACUCAUAAUAUUGCUGGAACCAAUUUCUAAGUUCAAAAUCAUUUUUCAGGAGCUAGGAAUUGAACUCAACCUAUCUAAUUCCAAAAUUAGGGUUAUUUUAUUUGACACGAUCUCUGGCUAGGAAGCAAGCACAACAGCUCCACCGUUAUUGGCAAGUUACUGAAAGCAACCCUUUGACAGCAGCCGCAGAUCCACAGCCAUACAGAAUUUUCCUUUUUAAACAAGUUGCUCACCAUUAGGAUGCUCUGAUUUCUCCAUUUGUAAAAUGAAGAUUCUCUGUCAACUUUUGGUUUUAGUUUUUGGUCUGGCAUAUUUGGUAAGCUACAAGUGAUCUUUGGCUGAAAAUCAGUCAUGUGUGGCGGGUCGUUUCACCAGGUGCCCUGCACCCAGAGAUCUAGGGCCCUCAAUCGUCCUUCAGUUGCUGUCAGUGCAAGGGCAAUCUCACCCAACCCUCCACAGGGAAAGGCAACUGCCACACGCCUCUGAGAGCAGGGAUGCAGCAAGCGCUGACUCUGGGCUUACAGGGGUCCCGCCCAUAACAGCGCACCACAGACCAGGGCUCACCCCACAAACAUUUUUCUCGCUCAGUCCUGGAGGCAGAAAGGCCAACAUCAGGGUGCCAGCAUGGCUGGCGUCUGGUGAGGCUCUCUUCCUGGUUUGCAGACUGUUGCCAUGGUAUUGUGAUAAUAACAAAAUAUAGAUUUGGUCUUCGUCCCAGAUUCCCAACACCAGAGCUUCUAAGAGACCUGGAACCUCUUGAGUGAUGAGCGUGUCUUUUGUGUGCUGACGAGAGGACAGAGCUGGUGACCCUUGGGCAGCUUCAGGAAGGGACUGCUCCCCAGAAAGACCAAGGCAGGACUUAUAGGUGAGGACUUUCAGAUCCACCCCAACCUCCAGGAAGCGGGAGGGGAGAGAGGACAGGAGCUGAAGAUGGAACUGAUUACCGAUGGCCAAGAAUUUAAUCCAUUAUUCUGUUAAUGAAAAACCAAACUCUGUAAAACAUUUUAAAGAGGUUUAUUGGGACCCCUAAUACGGUGACCACAGCUUGGAGAAAAAACAAACCCAAGAAGCCUAGAGUGAGUGUUCCUGAGGUGCCUGGAUUACAGUCUGGCUUCAUGCACUUUAGGGGACAGGCGUUACAGGUGGACGAGAUAUAUAUUGGCUCAGCUCGAACACGCGGGAUAUCUGGAAGCAAGCCUUAUCGGUUAUAGGUGGAUUCAGAGAGUCUUCAGUUUGCGGCUGGUUAAAGGAGCAAAGCUUUAUCUAAAACCUAGAGUCAGCGAUGAGGACAUCUGCACCCGAAACAUGGGGCAGGGGUGACUAACAGGGUGCAUGACUUGACUUAACCCUCGUCUGACAUGGUCUUGGGUCCUGUUUGUAACUGGGGCUCUUAUUGCCACGGUCAGUUCUGUCAGCCUUCUGAUCUCUGUUUUGACAUUAAUGCCUAAAUUCCAAAGGGAGUGGGAACAGCCAGGCGUCCAAUCUCCCUUCCUGUUGCGGCCGGGAACUGUUUUCCAGGUUUCUCUGGGGUCCCCUUGGCCAAGAGCGGGUCCAUGUAGUCACUGGGGGCCUUAGGACGUUAUUUUUGGUGCCUGUGUUGGGGCUUAGAAGAUCAUACUCCAAAAUGAGGGCCCCAGCAGCAGCCUCUGAAGCAAGUUUCUGUCUGAGCUUCUCCCAUCCUCUGUGUCUCAGUACCACUCUCACUCAAGGUGCCAUAGAAAUGGGAAUCCUUCUUCCCCACAGUGGGUCCUAGAAACCAGAACCCCUUUCCCCAAAGCCAGCCAUACAACCAAAAACUAGGGCUCUAAUUUUCCCUGUGCCUCUGUGUGUACAAACUGGCCAUAAAGAAAUGGUCUGACCUACCUGGCUUGGCUGUAGCUCCUAAGACCCCCAUUCCAGAGAGGGUCCCACCCACACCCAGAAGGAGAGGGCGCUGCUCAGAGAGGCCAAGGAGAAUCCAGACACACAGACCAGGCUGGCUUUCCCCACUCAGUCCAUUAGCAUCAGAUCCAGCUAAGCCUCCAAUCCUAUUUCUACAUGGCUGCCCAUACUUCAUUGAACCUAAGCAUAAAAAUGAGCUGUUUAUCUGAAGGGUCCCUUGUAUACACAUUAAUUUGUGUGCCUUUUCUCCAGUUAAUCUGCUUUUUGUGAGUUGACUUUUCAGAGAACCCUUGUAAGGCUGAGGGAAAAGCUCUCCCUUGGCCCCACACCUACAUAAUGGAACCUCCAUGAGGUACACAUAAUUUAGGAUGUCUAUCCUAAAUGAUGGGGUUCCAAAAACUCCCAGGGUGGUGAAUUCAUCCAGAUGCCGGGAGGGAGGACGGUGCACUGCAACCCAGGUUGUUAGUCUCAGAAUUGAAUGGAAUUCCAGGACAUCCAGUUGGCAUCCAAGGAGCUGGAAAACUGGGUGGUGUGGGAAAUAAAAACCUGAUAGGUUUGGGAUCAUGAGAGAAAGAGAUACCCUUUAGCCACCUUCUCUGUUUCCUCAUGAGAAAAGAAAGUCAUGUUUAUCUGAGGACUGUGAGUCCUUUUAAAUUAUCAGGCCCAAGGUGUUAAGAUGAGGCAGCCGUCAUGUCCUACUCCCCCCUGCCUACUCAAGCUGUGUAUUCAUCUCUGGAAACUGCUUGCUGUUGCCACAAGAGGCUAUAAAUUAAUCGAACAAUGCUACACUGGACACUGUAACCACACCCUAUAGCUUAACAAUAUAUAGCCCAUCAAUAGCUUAUUUUUUUUUGAGACGGAGUCUUGCUCUGUCACCCAGGCUGCAGUGCAGUGGUGUGGUCUCAGCUUACUGCAACCUCUGCCUCCUGGAUUCAAGCGAGUCUCAUGCCUCAGCCUCCAGCGUAGCUGGGAUUACAGGCACACGCCACCACACCAGGAUAAUUUUUUGUAUUUUUAGUAGAGACGGGGUUUCACCAUGUUGGCCAGGCUGGUCUCAAACUCCUCACCUCAAAUGAUCCGCCUGCCUUGGCCUCCCAAAGUGCUGGGAUUACAGGUGUGACAACACUCAGCCUAGCUUAUGUUAUUUUAAUGUAAAUUCUUGGUAAACAACUUGGGACCUGCCUCUUCUCCCCAGAGUCCUGGAUAACCCUCUCUGCCCUGUCUCCUUCCCACCUACCGCCCUGAAGGCUGCUUCCGCCUCUGCCCAGACUGCAGAUGCUCCCAGGCUGUGUCCUCUGCCCGCCUCUUCUCUCCAGCCCUCUCUCAUGGCAGUCCCACCUGACAACUCCCAUGGCCUCCUGGGUGUCCUGCAAAGGCUUUGUCACUGGUGUCACUCCUCCAGGCCUCAGAUAAUUCCAGAUACACAAGCGCUCUCCCAACAAGCCAUAUUCUCACCUCUGCAAAGCAUUUCCAAGCAUCUCCGUUUCCUCUGCAUAAGCGACACGGCCCAGCCACCCGAGCCCUCGUUGCCAUCCACCACUGGGCAUCAGCUUCCACUCCCGUCUUUCUCGUGUCCUCUGGUCCAGCCCCUGGUGAGCUCCAGCCAAGCACCGCCUACUGGGCCUCUGGUCUUUACCUGUUCUGUUCCCUCUGCCUGGAGUUUUUUUAAGUAGAAAAAUGCGAGAAUGUGGAGUGGGAAUGUAAAAUGGUGUGGCUGCUGCAGAAAACACUUUGGUGGUUCCUGAAAAAGUUUAGGCAUACACUUAGCAUGGGACUCAGCAUUUACCCCUUAAGCACACGCCCCAUGGAAACAAAACCUGUUCCCUCGGAAACGCGCACACAGACGCUCGUAGCUACGUCCUUCGUAACAGCUGGAAGGCGGAUGUUGGGAACAGGCCCCCCAAAAUCUGGCCAUAAACUGGCCCCAAAACUGGCCAUAAACAAAAUCUCUGCAGCACUGUAACAUGCUCAUGAUGGUCAUGACGCCCACGCUGGAAGGUUGUGGGUUUACCGGAAUGAGGGCAAGGAACGCCUGGCCCAUUCAGGGCGGAAAACCGCUUAAAGACAUUCUUAAUCCACAAACAAUAGCGUGAGCGAUCUGUGCCUUAAGGGCAUGCUCCUCCUGCAGGUAACCAGCCAAACCCAUCCCUUUAUUUCCAGCCCAUCCCUUUAUUUCCCAUAAAGAAUGCCUUUAAAUCUAUAAUCUAUAAAAACAAUGCUUAUCACUGGCUUGCUGUCAAUAAAUAUGUGGGUAAAUCUCUGUUCAAGGCUCUCAGCUCUGAAGGCUGUCAGCCCCGAUUUCCCACUCCACACCUCUGUAUUUCUGUGUGUGUGUGUGUCUUUAAUUCCUCUAGCGCCGCUGGGUUAGGGUCUCCCUGACCGAGCUGGUCUCGGCAGGCGGAGACGACCGGGUGUCCACCACAGGUGAAGGGAUUAACAAAUGGUGCCCGGUCCCUGGGGUGGGAUAUUAUGCAUCUGUGAACAGAAGUGAGACACUGAUACACUGAGGGGACUCAGGGGCCACCACUGGGAUGAGGCUUGGAAAUGUGGCUUCCACCGAAAGAAGUGAGACACAAACGUUCGCACACCGCGUGAUUCCUUUUAUAUGAAAUAUCCAAAACGGACAAAUCCAUAGAGACAGAAAGCAGAUCUGUGGUUUCCAGAGGAUGGGGAAGGAAUGAGGAGUGAUUACUUAAUGGGGAUGAGCUGUUGUUCUGGAGGGAUGAAAUGUUCUGAAACUGGAGAAGCAGAGGUUGCACAACGUCGUGAAUCCAGCAAAUGCCGCCGAAGUAUAUGCUUCAAGAUGGCUGUUAAGUGAAUUUCACUCCAUAAAAGGUGUGUUUUAGAGGGUUAUGCCCAUGAGCGAGCCUACCUAUACAUGUGCAGUGUCACAUUACUGAGACGAUUCUGUUUAGAGCAAAGCCACCUACCUCCCACGUCCCUUUCCAGCCUGUCUUCUUAGCCACCUGCCUCCCACAUCCUUCUCCAGCUUUGUCUCCUUGCAUGCAGCCCUCUCAGGGCUUUUGAGGCCUGGAGGCCAAGGGUGCUGGGAGGUCCCACUUUGUACCCUCUCCCGAGAGCUUUGAGGGGUACCUGCCGCCUCUAGCUGUGCCUUCUCUGUGCCCUUCAACUCUGGAGUGAGGUCAGAUCUUGGCUCUGGGGCCACCACCAGCUGUUUCAGGCUUGCAAAGUUCUGUCCGACAAAAUACAGCUCCGCUUCCCUGUGGGGGGAAGCAUUGGCCCCAACAGGCCUUCUUCACCAACGGGGACAGCAGUCCCUUGAGUGGAGCCCUGGACUCAGGGAGCUCUGGUCAGUGAAACUCUCAGCUAGGGGCUAAGGGUAUGGGGACCUUCAUAUGUGGGACAGGCUCCUCGCUGGGGACGCUGCCACCAGGCCUGUGAGGCAGCCAGCCAAGUUCCACUUGCUGCAGCUGGGGCUGCUCUGGACGGCCAAUCCAGACACCUCCCCCCUCUCCACCCUCUUUCCAUCCUCAGGUUUGCAUUUCUUAGGUCUGGCACUUCAACUGCAAAGUACAAGUCCUGGGCUAUCUCCUCCUGCUCUGCUGAAGGCCACAUCGAUGCUUGGAAGGUAGGGUCAGCCCAGUCCCUUGCUCCACACACCCAACUACACUGAUGGAGCGACCGUCUACACAGGGAUCCUACGGUGGGGAGUGAGCCUUGCUGGCCUGAUGCAUGGCAGUGGUUCCUGCUCCAAUAAGACCAAGAAUAAUUAAUAACUGUGACUAAGUUAGAAGCUUUGGCUGCAUCUGAAUUCACCAGCGUUUCCAGCUCCUGAGGCCAUGUGCGGUGUCACCUCACUCCUGGCAGACAGACUCCCACUCGGAGGAUGAUUUUUCAUAGCCAGGGUCGCUCUGUGGACCUUGGAUGGACCAACGUGCUUUCCAUGUCCAACUUUGUCAAGAUCCGGGGAAGAUUCUCCAGCAAGUCUCUUGGAAACAUGUGCAUGUGGCCCCAGGCGACGUGAGGGGUGCAGUCUGCCUGCGUUAUGCAAUGCUCAGGCCAGUUUUCCCUGAGAGAGGAAUGCUGCCGAUCCUCUGCGGUAACCCACAAAACUCCACGGAGAUGCUUGGAAGGAAAAGCAUCGCGUCCUCCAGAUGUUUUGAAAUGUUCAAGUAUUUAAAAGGGAAAUGGAAUUUCUGUUUAUCCUUUUAAGUGACAAUUAUUCAUUGCGUCUUCCUGGCCACAGCUCAUUCAGCACUACUGCAGAUCCGGCCAGACCCCCAGGAGCCGCGGCCCCUGCACAGCCAAGGCCAAGAAGCUCCCAUCGUGGAGGGGGGCGCAUUCCGGACCUGUGAGGCCCGGGGUUCGUUUUUAUGCCUCCUUAAAGGGAUGAGCCAGAGAAGAAAGUCUUCGCAAAGCCUUUGCCCCAGGAGGGGCGGGGCUGCGCAGGGCGCCUGUGGAGGCCGUGGCCGGGCAGGUGGGGAGGCUCACACACAGGCCAGAGGCUUCCCUGGAAACUGACGCCCUAGGGCAGGUCCAGCUCCUGGAUGGUCGCAGGUGAAGAAACGCCAGGCCCAAGGGUCCUGGGAGAGAGAGGGGAACAGCGCCCAGGAAGAGGUGCAGGUUCCCAGGGACUGCAAGGGCCGCCGCCACCCUCCCACACCCCACCCUCGCUGCAUCACCAGUCAGCCCAGGGCAGGCUGCUGACCCUCCCUUGGCCUCAGUUUCCUCAUCUGUAAAAUGGAAAAAGAAGCAUGUCCACCUCACCAGUGGUCACAGUCACAGGUGCUGACAUGGAGAAGGAUUGAUGCGUCCUCCUGAGUGCUGCCUUGUCAUGCUAUAAACCAGGAGGCCUGGCUCUCUGCCUCCCGGGAAGGUCUGUUUCUAAUCCUGUGCUGGGUCUGCGUGGCUCCAUGGCCUCAGAGGCUGACACCGAGUGUGGUGUCCCUGGGUCACCGUGCUCCUUGGUUUGGUCCAGCAGGAGAAAGGGCAGCCUGCCAAGGAGAAGGCUGUGAGCUUGGCAGGGGAGAACUUAGGCGCUGUGCCUUUGGGAGGCUGGGAUUUAGAUCACAGCUGGGAAGCUAAGUCCUGACUGCACUGGCCGGAACCAAUGGGCUCCAGUAGCCGGAUGCUCUGCCAAGUCAGGAGGUAAUAACCGCCACGGCCUGGGAGAGAAGCUGGCACAGCCGUGGGCCCCUGCCCUGCGGUCUGGCCUCGCAGGUCCCCAGGCCGUGUACAGACACUGUGCGGCAGGGAAGCAGAGGCAGCCAUGGGGAGCAACCCUGUUUCUCAGUGCUACAUGCCUACUCUCCCUGAGCUGAUGUCUGGAAGACAGUAAAGGAGACCUGAGGCAGUGCUGCCCCUCCUUCCGUCUGCCACCUCCUCAGGGCUGGCCCAGGCCCUGCAGAGCAGGUGGUGGUGGCUGCUGGUGGUAAAGCCCGUCCAUCCAGAGCCUCGCUCUGCUCCCAAACCACCCACCUCCCGCUGCACAUGUGGCAGCUUCAGGAGCCUGGCGGGGCUAAGAGGAGAUGACAGACCCCAGCAAGGACAGGCUCAGCUUCUUGGGGACCGAGUCAUUGCCUGUUGCUUCUCCUGGGGGCCUCGACUGUCCGAGUGUGUUCAGGCACACGGUGCCCUGUCUGUUUCCCAGGCACUUGGGCCAAGGCUGGACAGGGAGGUGCCAUGUGGGACGAAAGCCCAGGCUGUGCAGUGCUGGUCACCGGGAGUGACCAUGGGUGAAGUCGCGCUGUGAGUGACUGCCUGUUAUCACUGACCACGCAGGGCCAUCCUGGGUGACCCGCUGUGCCACAAGCAACUGGUUCACAUUGGAGCCCCCCUCUGGAGCCCUGGGCAACCCGCUGCCAGUGGGCCUUUCUCCUGAGGCCCCUGGAGUCCCGGAGCAUCCCGUGAGUUCAUCUGCCAUACCUGUGAUUGCCAUGUGGGCCCAGCGCCCUCCAAUGGAAAAGCUGCAUUCAGUUCUGCCCGAGGAUCCCAGGCCUACGACACUGUCCUCAGGCUGCCAGGGAGCAGGAGGCUGUGGGGAUCUGCGUUCUUGCCAGGCCUGGGAGCAGCAGCCAAAAAGUGGACUUACGUGGACAAAAUGUUGGGCCAGGGAGGAGCCCUCGGCUCUGGACGGAUGUCUCUGGUGCUUUUAUGCCACGUGCAUUUCUGCAGAUUUGAUGCCCGGCAGCCAGCACUGGGCUGUGGCCAUGGUGGUGAGGCAGCCUUGGGUCUGCACGAGGCUCGGAGGCCUCCAGGAACCUCCCAGGAAUGUGACUGUGCCUGGAGAGAAGCGCCAUCUGCACGGCGCAGUCCAGAUGCUUCUCUCCUACAAGCCCAUCAUCAAACACACAGCUGCCCAGACUUCAGCAGGAUUUGUGCACAAGAAACGCAAAGGCACAGUCCAUCGGGUGAGGCAGAGGUGGAAGGAGCACCGGGGUGGGAGUGGAGGAGCACCGAGGUGGGGGCGCAGGAGCACCGAGGCGGGGGCGCAGGAGCACCGAGGCGGGGGCGCAGGAGCACCGAGGCGGGGGCGCGGGAGCACUGAGGCUGAGCUGUCUCUAGUGAUCUCUCAAGCCUCAGUGCAGUGGCCACAGGGCAAGGUGCCUCCUGGUGUGUCCUCGCCUCCAAAUCAGGCUGCUCCACUUCCCAGGUCAGAGUCCUGGGGGGUUGUGUUGACCCUGAGCCCCCACGAGCAUCCAAUCCAGCAGAGCUGGAAGGACCCAAGAACCUGCAUUCCUCAUGGCUCCCAUCAUGCUUCCGGUCCAGGAGCCACCAUCCAGACCACACUCCCAUUCAUCCCCUGGCCACGGAAGCUGAAGCCUUGGUUUCCCCACCUGUAAAGUGGGAGUAUCAACAUCACCCACAUCAAAGGGCCUGGAUUAGAUGCGGUGAUGCCCGUGGACUUUAGCAGCCCCGGUCCUCCAGGGGCCCUCCCAGGGAGCUGAGGCCCGGGUGGUCCUGGCGGCCGCUCCUUCUCCAGGCCGAAGACAGGAAGGUCUCUUGGGCUGACCUCAGGCAAGAGGCGGGGUGGGUCACGGCCUCCAGGGCCAGGCUGGGGCCUCCACAGAAAGCCCGUGGGUGGCGAGAGGGAGCCGGCUGGGGUGACUGAGGGUCGCUGGGUAGAUGAGGGAGGGACCCGGGGUUCUUGUGUUCACGUGUGUAUUUGCCCCGUGUUUCUGCUGACAUGCCACGUGUGCAACAAACAGGCUUGGCGAGCCAUCCCCACCACCCAGGCCGAGACGCCAGACGUGACUGGCACCCCAGGGUUCCCUCCCGGCCCCCAGAGGUAACCCCAAUGCUGGUUUACCACAGAUGACUCAUUCUGCCUGUUUUAGGGUUUUGAGUAAAUGAAACCCAACAGCGUGCAGUCUUUUUGCCUGGCUUCCCUUUAACCACGUCUGAGAGGCUCACUUUGCGGUUGCUUCUGUGGCUCCUGGACAGUUUCCCUUGUGCGGACACAACUCAGUGAGAGCACCCCUUCUUCCAUUUGUAGACUUUCCAAAUAGUCCAGGCGAGAGAGGCUCAGGUCUUGAGUUCAGGGAGGGGCAAUGCACAAGCAGACGCCAAGUGGAAGGGAGUACACCCCUCCCUUGGCGGGGAGGCCCUCGGGCUGGUGGGGAUGAGCGCCCCUCAGACGGCACCUGCGGGUGACAGGGUGUGACAUUCUGCUGUUUCUCGGAAGUAACUCGCAAGCAGCAUGGGGGUUCCUAGUGUGUUUCACAGACUCUCACCAAAUGUUAGGGUUCACUCCUUGUCCUACAGCUUAAAUACACCAAAAGUGAGAAAAUUACGAGAUAACAUUUCCCUCAGAGACCCAUAUUCUGUGUUAAAGAAUUCUUCCUUCUACCUAAAUCCAUCUCUUUACGGUCAGAUGUCAUUGGUUGUGGUAUUUUGUCCAUUUUCAGCUUUGUUUAGAUUUUUUUGACAUGCAAUUAAAUGCCCAUAUUUAAGACGUACGGUUUGAUAAGUUUUGACAUUCUGCUGCACCCACAGAGCCAUGACCACAAUCGAGACCAUGGACAUCCCCUCCCCCAGGCUGGCCCCUGCCCCGUCCCUCCACCCUCCUGCUCCUCUGAUGACACUGACCUUUCUGUCACUGUAGAUUAAUUCAUUUCUGUCCUGGGUAACACAGCGUGUAUACUCUUAUUGCCUGACAUUGUCUCACAGUGUAAUUAUUUUGAGAUUCAUCCAACAAUUCAUCCUUUCAAUGCUGGGGAGCACUAGUUGCAUGGGUGUAUCAUAAUUGGUUCAUCCACUGACCCGUGGAGGACGUUCAGGUUGUUUUGGAUUUUGGUGAUUACAGGCAAGGUUGUUGUGAACGUUUACGACACAGUCUUUCUGUGGACGUUCCCAGAACAGACAUGUCUGGGUCACAUGGUGACUCUGUGUAGCUUUUUAAGAAAUGGCCGAACCGUUCCCUGUGGUUCUUGUGUUAUGAUCCUGCCAACAUGCUGCGCGCUCCAGUUGCCCCACAUCCUCGCCAGCCCUUGGCAGGGCCACUUUUGAACAUGUUAGCCAUGCUGGUGGGUUUGUAGGCACCUCUCAUACUGGUCUUCGUUUGCACUUCCCUAAGGACUAAAUGGUUGUCAGCAUCGUCUUGCGUGCUUCUGUCUGUUAAUAUAGCUUCUUUGGUGAAAUAUCCAUUCAAAUAUUUUGCCUACUUUUUAAUUGAAUUGUUUUGUCUCAUUAUUGUGUUGAAAGGCUUCUUGACAUGUUUUAGAAAGAAGUCCUUUUUGAACAUGGUUUGCAAAUAAUUUCUCCAGCUUGGCAGCUUGCCUCUUUAUAGUGUCUCUUAAAGGGCAAAAGUUUUAAAUUAAUAAAAUUUAGCUUAUUGGUUUUUUCAUGUAGUUUGAACUUUUUGUGUUCUAUUUAAAAAACCUUUCCCAAACUAAAAGUCACCAUGAUUUUAUCUUAUCUUCUUCUUACAAGUUUUACUGUUUUAGUUCACACAUUUAGAUUUAUGACCUAUUACAAUUUUUUUUUUUGAGAUGGAGUCUCGCUCUGUCAGCCACACUGGAGUGCAGUGGCGUGGUCUUGGCUCUCUGUAACCUCCACUUCCCAGGUUCAAUCAAUUUUCAUGCCUCAGUCUCCUGAGUAGCUGGGAUUACAAGCACAUGCCACCAUGCCCAGAAAAUUUUUGUAUUUUUAGUAGAAACAGAGUUUCACCAUGUUGCCCAGGCUGGUCUUGAACUCCUGACCUCAAAUGAUCCACCUGCCUCAGCUUCCCAAAGUGCUGGGAUUACAGGUGUGAGCCACUGCAUCCAGCCCAAAGUUAAUUGUUGUAUGUGGUGUGAGGUAAGGGUUUUGAGGAUUUGUAAUUGUUUUAUUUUGUUGCUUAUGGGUGUCCAAAUGACCCAGCAUUCCUUGUGGAAAAGGUUAUUCUCUCCCUGUUGAAUUGCCUCAGCACAUUUAUCAAAAGUCAAUUGGCCAUAAAUGAGUAGUGGCCAUAGAUGAGUAGGCCUGGGUGUUGUUCUGUCUCAUUGACCUAUUUAUCUGUUAUAAUGAUUAUAUUGACUGUCUUGAUUAAAAUCAAGUAAUAUAAAUUCUUCAACUCUGUUCUUUUUUAUGCUUGCUUUGGUUACUCCAAGUCCUGUGCAUUUCUGUAUAAACCUUAGAAUUAGCUUACCAAUUUCUACAAAAAUCCUGCUGGGAUUCUGAUUGGGAUUGUGUUGAUUCUGGAGAUCAAUCUGGGGAGAGUUGGCAUCUUCCAUGAACAUGCUAUGGCUCCAUUUAUUUAGGCCUUUUUUCAUUCCUCUCAUUGAUGUUUCUCAGUUCUCAGUAUAUAGGACUUGUAAAUCUUUUGUCAAGUUUAUUUCUAAGUCCUCAGUAAUUUUAGCUUUGCAUUUUGAGCUAAUUAUAGCUUCACAAAAAGUUGCCGAAUAGUACAGAGGGGUCCCACAUUCCAUUCCUCAGCUUCCUACAAUGCAGCACUUUGCAGAGCUACAACAAAUUCUUAAAACCAGGAAACUGAUAUGGGCACCACGCAAGUCACUGGAUGACGGAGCUCAUUUGGACAUCCUAGGUUUCCGUGUGUUUGUUUUAUUCUGGGUACGACUCCGUGUGGAGAUUCUGCGAUGUGUGGCCGCAUAUGUGGAUUUCUGUAACCACAACCACAUUCGAGAUGCAUGACCGUCCAUCCCCACAGGUGUGAGGUGUGCCCCGCGGGGCCCUUCUCUAACCCACAGCACCCGCCGGCGUCACUCAUCCUUUCAAGAGUGUUAUGGGAACGGAGUGCGGAAUGCAGCCUUUGAGAUGGAGUUUUCUCCCAGAGUCUGUUUCUCUCCGUUGCUGAGCACGUUGUGUGGUGUGGAGGCACCACGAUGCGUCGGACACGCACCUGCUGACAGACAAUGGGGCUGUUCCCAGGUUUUCGCUGUUCCAAAUAAAGCUGCUAUGAUCGUUUGUG
rnacentral:lncRNA from 1 species